rnacentral:rRNA from 1 species
GACGAACGCUGGCGGCGUGCUUAACACAUGCAAGUCGAACGAUGAAGCCGGAGCUUGCUCUGGUGAAUUAGUGGCGAACGGGUGAGUAACACGUGAGAAACCUGCCCUUGACUCUGGGAUAACUGCGGGAAACUGUAGCUAAUACCGGAAACGACGCUCGGAGGCAUCUCCUGGGGGUGGAAAGAAUUUCGGUCAAGGAUGGACUCGCGGCCAAUCAGGUGGUGGGUGAGGAAAAGGCUCACCAAGGCGACGACGGGUAGCCGGCCGGAGAGGGUGACCGGCCACACUGGGACUGAGACACGGCCCAGACUCCUACGGGAGGCAGCAGUGGGGAAUAUUGCACAAUGGGCGCAAGCCUGAUGCAGCAACGCCGCGUGAGGGAUGACGGCCUUCGGGUUGUAAACCUCUUUUAGCAGGGAAGAAGCGAAAGUGACGGUACCUGCAGAAAAAGCACCGGCUAACUACGUGCCAGCAGCCGCAGUAA